GAUUCAAUUUCAAACUCGAUCUAAAACGCACAUUAUUCAAGUGUUCCGACAAGAAUGAGUCUUUUUACUUGCAAAAAGUAUGUUUUUCUGAUAGAGAAAAGUCUUCCGAACUUCUCCACCUGAAU
rnacentral:tRNA from 1 species